rnacentral:rRNA from 1 species
GUGGGGAAUUUUGGACAAUGGGCGCAAGCCUGAUCCAGCAAUGCCGCGUGCAGGAAGAAGGCCUUCGGGUUGUAAACUGCUUUUGUACGGAACGAAACGGUCCGGGUUAAUACCCUGGGCUAAUGACGGUACCGUAAGAAUAAGCACCGGCUAACUACGUGCCAGCAGCCGCGGUAAUACGUAGGGUGCAAGCGUUAAUCGGAAUUACUGGGCGUAAAGCGUGCGCAGGCGGUUUUGUAAGACAGGCGUGAAAUCCCCGGGCUCAACCUGGGAAUUGCGCUUGUGACUGCAAGGCUGGAGUGCGGCAGAGGGGGAUGGAAUUCCGCGUGUAGCAGUGAAAUGCGUAGAUAUGCGGAGGAACACCGAUGGCGAAGGCAAUCCCCUGGGCCUGCACUGACGCUCAUACACGAAAGCGUGGGGAGCAAACAGGAUUAGAUACCCGGGUAGUCC